rnacentral:rRNA from 1 species
CACGUAGGGUGCGAGCGUUGUCCGGAAUUAUUGGGCGUAAAGAGCUCGUAGGCGGUGUGUCGCGUCGGCCGUAAAAACUUGCAGCUUAACUGUGGGCGUGCGGUCGAUACGGGCAUCACUGGAGUUCGGCAGGGGAGACUGGAAUUCCUGGUGUAGCGGUGAAAUGCGCAGAUAUCAGGAGGAACACCGGUGGCGAAGGCGGGUCUCUGGGCCGAUACUGACGCUGAGGAGCGAAAGCGUGGGGAGCGAACAGG